GUCAGUAUCCAUUUCAACGCCCAGGGUCUUCCUCUCUGCAUCUUCUUUCAAAAUUCCAAUUCCGUCCGCAUUAAAUCAAGUUCUUUUUGGUGAGUCUAAUCUCUUUCUCUACGCGUACUUUUUACUCCUAUGUGCUAUUUGAGCAUUUGGUGGAUUUUGAUUUAGCUUUUUUCUUUGAUGGAUCUGAACUUUGAGCUGAGUUUUUAGGAAAUUGAUGCCCAAAAAAAAAAAUAAUAAUAAUAAAUUUAGGUUAAUUAUGUAGUGUUAUCUUUUCAGACAUUCGAGCAAAUGCUGGACCUGAUUUAUUUGAAAUUGCAUUUAUGACUAUUUUCUUUUCGUGCAAUUGGAGCUGCUUUUAUAAUACGAAAUGUUUGGUGGGUUGUAGAUUAAUUGUUAUGUUGUCUAUCUUCCAAAGAUGUGCAGUUUUAGGGUUCACCGACUUCCACACUAAAGGAGAAGUAAAACUCUCUAAACUUGUAAGAUUUCUAGUGAGCACUAUGAACACAGGGUUAGUUUGUGAAAGCACCUGGACGUUACCUUUUAUACUUGGGGGUAAUGUAGGACGCAACCUCCAUAGAAAUAAAAAAUUUGCCAGUUUUAAAUUGACUGUUGCUGAACAUGGAUGAGUAUCUUCUUUCUCAAGUUCUUGGAAUCAAAAUCACACAAUAAGAUUCAUUUUCUGUUCAUUUACUAUGAUUCCAUUGACAGUAGAAUAGUUACGAAAAAGUUAGUUUGUUUGGAAUUAACUCCGUCAAUAUACUAAAAGACUCGUAUAAAGUUAUAAUAGACCAUCUGAUUUCCCUUCGUCAAAUAUAUUAUGGGUACAUGUGUUAGGUAUGCUUUUGCUAUUUGACAUAGUUUUGUAGUCUUGAGAGUUGAGAUUUGAUUUGCUUAUUGAUUUAACACUGGAACAAGGCAAAUUACCUGCCUGAAAGCUCUUGUAGCCAUUUUGCAUUGUUGGUUUACUGAAAAUCAAUGCCCUUGUACUUCACUUUAACAUGUGUGUUUCGUAAAGAAAGUAAUGAAAUUAUUCAGUUGUACAUGAAAAUAAUUUGGGCCCAAUUAAAAUGCUUUUCUCUAGGCCCUUGUUUGGGCUCCAUUUUAAUAAGGUUUUGGGAAAAAUGUAUUUUGGCAUAGUAAUUUUUUUGGAGAAUGUGUGGUUAAAAUGUGAGGAAAAGUUUUGAAUUUAUGUGUAAUAUAAUUUUAUUGAAGAAUGUGAGGUUGAAAAUGAGUUUUAAAAAGUAUUUUUGGUUUAAUGGAGCCCAAACAAGGGUUAGAUUUGGCAAGCUAGUUUGCAUUUCUGAUUAUUAACGUUCAAAAAGAAUUUGAACAUGUGAUCAAAUUAUCGCUACCCCUUUUUCUCUCAUUCUGUGGCAAGUGACCUAACUGAUUUUAACUUUUUCAUUUUCCUCAUUUUUGACAUCAAGUCUCAUGGCUGCACCUGGGAGUUCUAUGCUAUAUUCUUUUCUUCUGUUCGUUGCCACUCUCUCUCUACAAGAAAUGUAUAGAGUGAAGUUAGCAUCUUCAGAGUUAUUUACUAUUCUUGGAGGCUUUACCAGCUCUUUAAUAUUUCUCAUGUUGCUGACGGUGAGAGAAACUAUCCUUUUAAUACCCUUCAUUUCCAUGCAGAUGUACGAGCAAUUUUGUGCUAUGUGCUCUAAAUUGUAGAUAAUGUGAUGAGUGAUCAUAUUUAUUAUUGCUACAUAUUUAACCUGCUCCUGUCUCCCCCUCUUUCAGAUCUCUGAGUCCUUAGAAUUUGUUUCUCUGGUACUUGUUAAAGUGAAUUUUUUGGAACCUGCUCAAUGAUUUAUGAAUGUCAAGAUUUUUCCUUUAAUUUUUUGUUUUUAUUUUUCCUUUAAAAUGAUGGGAAAUACACCACGCGUUACAAUGAUAAGUUCAUGAACUAAAGAUACAUUUGUCUGGCUGCGAGGACGAAAGAUGUGCCUUCUAUUGUUCUAGGUGUUUGUAGAAGUUUGUGGUGGGUGAAACUAAAUAGUGGUGGACGUAGACAUUUUGAGUUAGGGAACACAAGGUUGUGAGGAAUUUUACGUUCAAAAAUUUACAUACAAAAAAGUCACACCCAUGUAUCUGAAUUUUACAUCCGAAAAUUUACAUGGUGUAUGGCUUUUUUGGAUGUAAAAAUAUCAAAAAAUUUUGACUUCAUACCCCAUGUAAAAUUUCCUAAUAAAACAAUGUAAAUUAUAUUGAAAAAUUUGCCAUGCAAAAAGAUUAAGCGUUAAUGAAAUAAUUGUAAAAUUUUAAAGAAAAGAUGGGUUAGACGUCUUUCCUUAAGAUGCACGUUUGGCAUAUCUUUAAUUAUUUUCGAUAUCCAUUUGAACCAUUCGAUAUGUCUAUAAUGCAAUUCUUAAAACAAGCUUCGAGAUGAUUUAAGCGAUUUGUGGAUUCAGCUGCCGUACGAUUGUCGAAGAAUUUUUGAAGUUAUCAUGUUAUUGAAAAUCUUGAAAUACUAGUUUGAAAUGGCCUAUUUUGACAAUUCGUAAGAUUUGCUAAGAUUGACUGUUUUGCAUGCCAUUAACAACGUGGAACUAGGUCGUGAAUAUUUCGAAAUGGUAUUAAGAAUGCAAUAUUUCGACUUCUUUUGUCAUUCCAUAAUGACCUGAGAAUUGAGACAAAAACAUAAAAAAUUUAAUGUGGUAAAAAAAAAGAAAGAAAUAAAACUUGCCCAGAAGUCGGGGAUCAUGUCUAGCCACCCUUGUCAAAACUUUGGCUUUGGUUCACCUCAUUUACUAAAACGGAAAAAUGGAAAAGAUUUCAACAUGACUCUGAAAUUCAAAAUCGGACAUUUUAAUCUCUUCUAGCUAACCAUUAAGUGUUUGCUUUUGCUUCUGCUUCUGUCUGUGUGCAUAUGUAUGUAUUAUGCAUAUAUAAAAUCAGGAUAUUUGGCAUUUCACAAAUAUGCACAUUGACACGCUAAUAUGUGUAUUUGUUCGUGAAAAAAAUUAUAAUGCUUAUAGACAUGCUAAUAAAUGUAUUUUUCCGUGAAAGAUGUUUAACUAUGUACUAUAAAAAUUAUUAAGAAACCACUUUUGCACUGGAAAAUCAUAAUUAGGUGCUUCUGUAAGAAUGAACAUAUUGGUAGAAUUGUUCACGUGAUAAACUUUCCACUGGGCAUGUUGUUAUGUGAAAGAUAUUGUUGCAAUGAACAAUGGUUGUAAGCUUCGACAUUUUUCUGCAUCUCCACAAUUAUCUUCUCUACUUUAUCAAUGUGAAUACCUAGAAGGUAUGGCACAGGUCUUAUAAACUGUUCUCAUAUGUGGUCACUACACAUAUUUCAUUUGCAAGACUGAUAUGUGUAGGGAGAUAAAUGUGGUAUUUACAUCUGACUUGUGUGUUCUGUCUCCAGUUCAUUGGAAAUUAUCAGGAAACAUGUGGUAUCAGGACUGGGUGGGGUGCUGGUAAGUGCCAUCUGGUUUUCUGUCUAAUUCUUUGCAUUGUUUACUUAAAAUGGAAGCUUAAAAAGUUUAUCACGUAUCUUUCAGAUUUUUUCGCCUUUUCCUUCUGUCCAUCAUAAGCUUCUCGAUUAUCUGAACGUUCUUCUCUAGCUCUUUCCGUUCAAUGCAAUGCAAUUAUAAAUGGACAUGUCUCUUAACUUUGCGAACUUCACAAUAUUUAUUGCCAGUCUUCAGAACGCCAGCCUCGUGAUAUCUGAUCUUGCUCUAUCUUUGGUCAUUUAUUUAGCCCAGAUUUUGGAUAAUAAUCUCCUAAGUUAGAACUUGGAAUUUAGGACUUAUGCUUAUAUGGAUGGAACGAAUCUGGAGCAUCGAAGUAAACAAGGGUUCUCUUUACAUUUUUCGUCUCCUAGUGAAUAGUGAAGUGGUUGGGGGAGGCCAGAGCUGCAUCUAUAUUCUCUGGCAUUCUUUUGGUCAAUAUGAAAAGGGGAAUGGAUGAAAGAAUUUUAAUCUAUACAUAGAUUUAUGUGAUGUUAAAGGUGAGGGUCCCGCGGCCAUCUGCCUUUUUCUUCUUUUGUUUUCAUUGUAACCAGGAACUGUAUACUGAAUUAAAUGUUACUGAAAUACUGAAUCAGAAAUCUGAGAUUCAUUCCAGGAUGUGGUUAUCAAUUUCCUUCUAGUUCCAUCUGUUAUUACUGAAAACUCACCCUCUGAAACCAAGUGUGGGAUGACCUCUCUGACGUUGGACAUGGGUUGGGGGGGGGCAAAGAGGUAAAAUGAUGCCAUUUAUUGUAACCAAAGACAAGCUCUAGCUUAUCAAACUAAUGAGGGUGAUUACAUAAAUUACAACUUUGAUUUCUCUCUUUCCCUGAAUUUUUCAUUAGAAACUACUCUUUGUUUCUCAUUUCUCUCGGGAACUAUGGCGUCAGCUUGUGCAUAUGAC
rnacentral:lncRNA from 1 species